CCGGGCCUUGUCUGGAUCGGGCGGCGCCCUACCGUGAUGCCAGCACCAAGUGGGAUGCCAGCGGUCGUUCAGACGACGCCGGCCUGGGCC
rnacentral:tRNA from 1 species